ACUAUUUUGGCAGAUUAGUGCAAUAAAUUUAGAAUUUAUAAAUAUAAUUAAUAAUUAUAAAUAGUA
rnacentral:tRNA from 16 species